UACGUAGGGUCCGAGCGUUGUCCGGAAUUAUUGGGCGUAAAGGGCUCGUAGGCGGUUUGUCGCGUCGGGAGUGAAAACACCGGGCUUAACUCGGUGCUUGCUUUCGAUACGGGCAGACUAGAGGUAUGCAGGGGAGAACGGAAUUCCUGGUGUAGCGGUGAAAUGCGCAGAUAUCAGGAGGAACACCGGUGGCGAAGGCGGAUCUCUGGGCCUUACCUGACGCUCAGGCGCGAAAGCUAGGGGAGCGAACUGG
rnacentral:rRNA from 1 species